GAUUAAGCCAUGCAUGUGUAAGUCUAAAUAGUUUUAGUGUGAAACUGCGAAUGGCUCAUUAUAUCAGUUAUAGUUUAUUUGGAAUAGUUUGUAUAUGGAUAACCGUAGUAAUUCUAGGGCUAAUACAUGUGUUUUCUUUGUUGGGUAACCAGUAAAGAAGUACUUAUUAGGCAUAAAACCAAUUGUAUAGAAUGGUGAGUAAUAAUAAUUGUUUGACUUUAUCGCAUGCUUUUUGUAGUAGCGAUGUUCCUUUCAAGUUUCUGCCCUAUCAGCUUUCGAUGGUAGUGUAUUGGACUACCAUG
rnacentral:rRNA from 1 species